UAAGCAUAUCAAUAAGCGGAGGAAAAGAAACCAACCGGGAUUGCCUCAGUAACGGCGAGUGAAGCGGCAAGAGCUCAAAUUUGAAAGCUGGCCCCUUCGGGGUCCGCGUUGUAAUUUGCAGAAGAUGCUUCGGGUGCGGCCCCUGUCUAAGUGCCCUGGAACGGGCCGUCAGAGAGGGUGAGAAUCCCGUCUUGGGCAGGGUGCCCGUGCCCGUGUGAAGCUCCUUCGACGAGUCGAGUUGUUUGGGAAUGCAGCUCUAAAUGGGUGGUAAAUUUCAUCUAAAGCUAAAUACCGGCCGGAGACCGAUAGCGCACAAGUAGAGUGAUCGAAAGAUGAAAAGCACUUUGAAAAGAGAGUUAAACAGCACGUGAAAUUGUUGAAAGGGAAGCGCUUGCGACCAGACUCGGCCCCGGGGUUCAGCCAGCACUCGUGCUGGUGUACUUCCCCGGGGGCGGGCCAGCGUCGGUUUGGGCGGCCGGUCAAAGGCCCCAGGAAUGUAUCGCCCUCCGGGGUUGUCUUAUAGCCUGGGGUGCAAUGCGGCCAGCCCGGACCGAGGAACGCGCUUCGGCACGGACGCUGGCGUAAUGGUCGCAAACGACCCGUCUUGAAACACGGACCAAGGAGUCUAACAUCUACGCGAGUGUUCGGGUGUCAAACCCGUACGCGCAGUGAAAGCGAACGGAGGUGGGAGCCCCCCCGGGGCGCACCAUCGACCGAUCCUGAUGUCUUCGGAUGGAUUUGAGUAAGAGCGUAGCUGUGGGGACCCGAAAGAUGGUGAACUAUGCCUGAAUAGGGCGAAGCCAGAGGAAACUCUGGUGGAGGCUCGCAGCGGUUCUGACGUGCAAAUCGAUCGUCAAAUUUGGGUAUAGGGGCGAAAGACUAAUCGAACCAUCUGGUAGCUGGUUCCUGCCGAAGUU
rnacentral:rRNA from 1 species